AUUGAACGCUGGCGGCAUGCCUUACACAUGCAAGUCGAACGGUAACAGGUUAAGCUGACGAGUGGCGAACGGGUGAGUAAUGUAUCGGAACGUGCCCAGUCGUGGGGGAUAACUGCUCGAAAGAGCAGCUAAUACCGCAUACGACCUGAGGGUGAAAGCGGGGGAUCGCAAGACCUCGCGCGAUUGGAGCGGCCGAUAUCAGAUUAGGUAGUUGGUGAGGGAAAGGCUCACCAAGCCGACGAUCUGUAGCUGGUCUGAGAGGACGACCAGCCAAGCUGGGACUGAGACACGGCCCAGACUCCUACGGGAGGCAGCAGUGGGGAAUUUUGGACAAUGGGCGCAAGCCUGAUCCAGCCAUGCCGCGUGCGGGAAGAAGGCCUUCGGGUUGUAAACCGCUUUUGUCAGGGAAGAAAAGGUUCUGGCUAAUACCUGGGACUCAUGACGGUACCUGAAGAAUAAGCACCGGCUAACUACGUGCCAGCAGCCGCGGUAACAC
rnacentral:rRNA from 1 species